rnacentral:lncRNA from 1 species
CAUCAUAUAAAAGCUAUAUAUUUCUCUAACCCUAAACCUAAAGACCCCAACCCAAACAGCGCUCCCUCUUCACGCGCCUCUGCCUGCCUCUAAACUCGCCGGAACUCGUCCAAACCCGGCGAGGUCACUCGGUGGUCCCCCCUCUCCUCUCAUUUCCUUCUUCCACGAUCACACACUCCGUAAAGCCUCAUCAUAUCCAUUAGACUCACGUGUUUUCCUUUCUUUUUCGUUCGAUUUGAAGCAAAUCCGAGACCCUUGAAUAAAUCUUGGAGAAAUAGGAACCGUUGGAUGAAGGUUUUUGUCCAAAGUCUCCAUUUUUCCAAUUUUUGUUGGUGAAAGGGGAUUUUUGAAUUUUAUUUUGAGGGCAAAUUCGGGUUUUGGGGUGUUUCUUGUUGAAGGAGGAGAGAAGUUUCGAGGGAGAGCUAUAUAUUUAAGGUUUUUGGACAGAAUUUUCGGACAGAAAAGAUAGAGGAAGAAUUAGGGUUCUUUCAGUUUCUUUUGAGAUUUUCUGUUUGGUUUUGCAUUCAAAAAAAAAAUACAAAAUAGUUUGAGUUCGAUUUUUGUUCAAGUAUCGUUCCAUUUCAAAAAUCAGAAAUUACCUCAAUAAAAUAUAUUUUAGUUUCUUCUUUUGAUCGUGUUGUUCAAAAAUGGACCUCGAUUGAAGUUUGGUUCUGAGUUCGCCCCCGAGGUCGAGUUUGCCGUUCGAGCUUUGUUUCUGGUUCGUUGCUCCUGGCGAUUUACUAUCAUUUAUUUCAAGUUUCAGUUACAGAAUCGGCUUGUAUUUGCAUCCCUCCGCGAAAUAUAUAUUGAAAGCAAUCUUGUCAUCUAAGGUUCAUUCUCCUUCCUCUUAUUUCUGUUUUGGUUUGGAUCAAAGUAUGAUAAGAGCCGGGAUUUAAAAAUGUUUAACAACUGCGUGAAUCUUUUCAAUAUUUUGAGCUCGUAUUUGCGUUUGAAUUUGCUUGUGAAUCUGCGAUGCACUUCCCUGGCAGUUUGAACCUUUGUUUUAUAUGUUUGGUUAAAAUUGAGUGUGAAACGAAAUGUAUAUUUGAGUCGAUUUGCUGAAGAUGUCCUCUGUUUUCCGUUGCCUCUGUUGGCCCUGUUGAAUAUUCAAGAGACAUAUUUUGAAUCACUGUUAAGCCUCAAUUGAUUUGAGUCCUUUUAAACGUGCCUUGAUUCUGUUUUUCGUCUCGUUUAUGUGUUGGGAUUAUGAAGGGAGUAUACUAGCUUGAGCAUCUAUAUUUUAGCAUGAGUUUUGAUGUUACCAGAUUGUCCAAAUAUUUCCUUGCCAUGACUCCUGAUUUUGUUAGCUUGCGAUAGUUUAUGCUUAUCUUGGGUAUCAAGGAUUUGUUGGUAUUCAUUAGUAAAGCUUGAAUAUGAUGGAAUUCUCACUUUAAAAGUUAACUUAGUUUUUUUGUGCUUACCCGUGAUUCUUACUAGCAUUCUGUCUGUUUCAGUAAAAUCGAGGGGGCAAUUAAGGGAAUGUUUUGAAUCCUCUGUUCAUUAUUCACUACGUUGUUUUGAUUCAUGAUUUUAAAGUAUGUCAUGUUCUGUUCGUUCCAUUCUUCUCUUAGCAGCCUGAAUAGUUGAUCAACUAUAUUGCUUUAAAGUCGAUUUUCCGGGAAUAAUAAAUGAGCUUCCUUGUUCUUGAGUGAUUUAGUUUCUUUCGCCAAGUCUAAGUUAUUUGCUCUUCGAAUUUUGUCAGUUCUUUAACCAUGGGUUCUCAUAUUAAGCACAUGAGACAUUGGACUUGAAUCAUCUCUGUAAUACUAGGUCGGUUUUCAUGUAUUGGUGACGAUAUUUUCAUGUCUUGUUUGUUCCUCUACCAUGAUUUGAAAUUGAUAUUAAUACUGCCAAAAAAUAUUUGGAUGGAUAACUUUAGACCUUUUGAGAGUUCUCUGUGUUUAGGUUGUAAAUGUGAUGAACAUAGGCUUAGUUUAAGUAAGGCGGCAGGUUCUGAUUUGAGUUGAUUUUCAUAUUCACAAAUUCAAGUUUGUUGGAGUAGGAUUUCAGUCAUGGCUCGUGCCACUUUAUUCUCUCAAACAUAUCUUCAUAUGUGAAUGGCCCCUUUGGAUUGUUCAAUGUUCUGCUAAUUUAGUAAUUGCGACAAGCAAAGAGGAUAAACUAGUAUUUAGUUGAAUCCGGUAUUGCAAGUGAGAUUGGGAAGGGGUUAGCUAUAUUUAGAAGGCUCUUAUCAUACUUUGAUCUGCUAUUUUGUUUCGUUUGUAUCAUGUUACUAUAUUUCUUUUCUUCUAUGUAAUUAGACGCUUAAUACUACUUGGCAUGAAUGGAUGAUUUGAAUGACUUUUUCUUGAAAGAUUGUUGGAUCGUGGGAGUGGGAGUGGGGAAUGAUCAAAGCCCAUUAUUAAUUAACCGUUCUCAUGUCUUAGGAUUGGGCUUGGUCAAAUACAUGAAAUAAGAAGUCAAAGGAAAAUGAGCAUGAUUUAGAAUUUGCCUUUACUUAGUUUUCUUUUAUUUAUUUUGCUAUAUUAACCUCUAGUAGCAUGCUUAGGCCGACCACAUUUGGGUAGGCAAACCUUUAAGAUGCUCGUGUUUUAGCUUUCUUUCUGAGGCGAGAGGUCCCCCUUAGUUAAAUUUAUCGGGGAAUGCCCCGAAGGAUUUGUAUAUAUUUUAUUCCGGGGUAUGUCCCGAAAUAUUUGUACUUGGAGGUCGAUAGCAGAACUCGUAAUAUUUUUUAUUUUUAUUUUCAUUUUUCUUUUAUUAGGUGGGGACGACCUCGAGCCUCGUGUAUGUGUGUUUAUUUUGCUUUUCUGUGCUUUCUACCUCAAAUGAAUAUGUUAAAAGCCAACUUGAUCAUGUACGCAACCGUACUAGUUACGGGACUGGGGGAGUGCCUAACACCUUCUCCCCGAGUCAAAUGAACCCUCUUACCCGAAUCUUUUGGUGCAUACUUAGUUUUGGAGUCCAAAGUGUUUUAAAAGAAAAAUCAUUUUUAAAACGGUGACCUGGCGCGCCGAAACCAAUGUCAAGUGGCGACUCUGAGUUAUUUCCUUUUGAACACCAUUUUUGUCACGUUCUAAUUGGAAAACCCUUUUUGAUCUUUACAAAUCUUUUUUUUUUAUAUUCUCUUAGAGGGUUUAGUGAAGUUUGUAAAAAAAAGGGUGUGACAUAUUUAUAUAUUUUUUAAUUAAUAUAAUUUAUGUAUUCAGAUGUAUUAUAUAAUUUCUCUGAAGAUUGCUAUAUUUUUGGGGUAUUUUUCAGUUGAGAAUCUUUUUUAUAACUGAAAAUACAAAAUUUGCGUGUUAUAAUUGAGUUUGUUGAGUUAUAUUAUGAGUCUAUUAUGUUAAUUGAUUCACUUUCCGUUUUAAAAAUAGUGUAAUCCCUUAUUUUACGCCAUAAAUACAUUCGAAUACAAUAAUCUGUCUAGGUGUAAUCCCAUGUUUCACUCCAUAAAUACAGCCGAAUACACUUGAAUACAACAACUGAUUAGCUGGACUUCCCUGAUUCACGCCUAUUUUUGCUAUUGUAUUCAUGAAUACAAUAGCUUAAGUACA